AGUGAACGCUGGCGGUAGGCCUAACACAUGCCAGUCGAACGGCAGCACAGUAAGAGCUUGCUCUUACGGGUGGCGAGUGGCGGACGGGUGAGGAAUACAUCGGAAUCUACUUUUUCGUGGGGGAUAACGUAGGGAAACUUACGCUAAUACCGCAUACGACCUACGGGUGAAAGCAGGGGAUCUUCGGACCUUGCGCGAUUGAAUGAGCCGAUGUCGGAUUAGCUAGUUGGCGGGGUAAAGGCCCACCAAGGCGACGAUCCGUAGCUGGUCUGAGAGGAUGGUCGGCCACACUGGAACGUGGACACGGUCCAGGCUCCUACGGGAGGCAGCAGUGGGGAAUAUUGGACAAUGGGCGCAAGCCUGAUCCAGCCAUACCGCGUGGGUGAAGAAGGCCUUCGGGUUGUAAAGCCCUUUUGUUGGGAAAGAAAAGCAGCAGGUUAAUACCCCGCUGUUCUGACGGUACCCAAAGAAUAAGCACCGGCUAACUUCGUG
rnacentral:rRNA from 1 species